GGAGACUCCAAAUAUGAAAUUUUUUAUCGCUAUUUUUCGGGUGUUUAAGAAUUUUAGAUUUUCAGUGCCAUUUCUUUGACGAUCACGAUUUAUUUCGUGUUUUUCAUUUAUGCGAAUCCGUAAGGAAAAUAACUACAUUAUCAUUUCGUAUUAUAAUUCAUUUUCAAGUAGCCCUGCUUAUUGACUUAUCGAGCAGUUUACGUUUAUGACA